UUCUUUUGCAAUGUUUCUAUUUUCUCAGUUUAAAUCCACCUCACAGGGCCUAUGAUGUGUACCAAAAGGUGGGCUACAACUGCUUCAUCGCAGCUGCUAUGUAUGUAGUGUGUGGACUGUUCUCCUGGUGCCAGAUGAGGCUCAAUAAGAAGAAGGAGUAUCUUGUGCAGUAGUGCCACCUGGUGGAAGGAUAACCUCCCUGCAGCCCACUGACAGCAGGAGGGACGGCUGUGUUGAUUCUCAGCUGUUCUUUCUUCUGUCUCAGGAUUUCAGUGACCUUGUCAAAGGGGACGAGGUUGGACACUUUGAGAACAAAAAGUAAUCUGACUUGUUAAUUCUAAGAUUAAACUAGUUCUACCUCUGAUUACUGUGUUAUAACUGUUUGAUUAUACUAUCAGAUUGAAAUAAAAGCUGUAAAACACUUUUGUGUACUUCUUAAAUCAGAGAGUAUGUUUGUAAUCCUUGUCAGUGACCAUGUGACUGUGUUGGGAAUGUUGAUAAUGAAAUUAAAUCAUUUCUCUCAG